CGCCUCUUGAUAUACACAACAUAAGAGGUCUCGCCUGCCCAGUGACUAAAUGUUAAACGGCCGUGGUAUCUUAACCAUGCGAAGGUAGCGUAAUCAUUUGUCUUUUAAAUGAAGACCUGUAUGAAUGGCAAAACGAGGGCUUAACUGUCUCCCUUCCCCAGUCAAUGAAAUUGACCUCCCCGUGCAGAGGCGGGGAUACAACUAUAAGACGAGAAGACCCUGUGGAGCUUUAGACUUAAAAUAACCCUGUAAAAUGAGCUUCGACACAAGCAUAAACUUAAUGGAAUUUAUUUAAAUGUCUUUGGUUGGGGUGACCACGGGGCAAAACAUAACCCCCACGAAGAUCGGGGACAUAUCCCUAACACUAAGAGACACCCCUCUAAGCAACAAAAUUUUUGACUUUAAAAAUGAUCCGGUACGACCGAUUAACGAACUCAGUUACCCCAGGGAUAACAGCGCAAUCCCCUCCCAGAGCCCUUAUCGACGAGGGGGUUUACGACCUCGAUGUUGGAUCAGGACAUCCUAAUGGUGCAGCCGCUAUUAAGGGUUCGUUUGUUCAACGAUUAAAGUCCU
rnacentral:rRNA from 1 species